UACAUGGGGUGCAAACGUUGCUCGGAAUUAUUGGGCGUAAAGCGCACGUAGGCGGUCUACUAAGUCGGAUGUGAAAGCCCUCGGCUUAACCGAGGAAGUGCAUCCGAAACUGGCAGGCUAGAGUACAGAAGAGGGUCGCGGAAUUCCCGGUGUAGAGGUGAAAUUCGUAGAUAUCGGGAGGAACACCGGUGGCGAAGGCGGCGACCUGGGCUGAUACUGACGCUGAGGUGCGAAAGCGUGGGGAGCAAACAGG
rnacentral:rRNA from 1 species